rnacentral:misc_RNA from 1 species
UAUUUGUAUGAGCGUCUGAUUACAAUCCGUUGGCUCCGAGUGAUACGGUCGUCGCGCAUCCACAGCGGAAUGUCUCGCGGUCUAUGUUUUCCGUCUUACAUUCGUUCGGCUGUCGUAGUUUUCACGCACAUAUCCGUCCGGCCGACGUGAUCACAACGCAACCACGGUUAUUUCGAAGCAGCAGCAGGUACAACCACUCACGCACACGUCCGGGCCGUUUUGUCUGCGAGUUUUUUGUGCCGUUACACCCACGGACGCCAAACGCGGGGCCGGUGUUGUGUCGGUGUUGACAUUAUUAUUAUUAUUUUUUUCUUUGACCCUCUCAUCGUUUACCGAACCGUCGCACAUAUUUGUUUCAUCGUUCGUCGUCCGUCUGACCAUUACCACGUUUUGUUCUUGUCGAUCCAGUGAUGUGUGCGUGACGUGACCGAACCAUGAGCAACCGUCCAUCCUACUACCACAACCAUUCGUCGUUCUCCAACAAUUCCCUGGCCAUCUGCAAAGAAAUCCAGCGUUUUGAGAGCGUUCACCCGUCCAUAUACGCCAUUUAUGAUCUCAUCGAGCUCAUACCCGAUCCAAUUGUUGCUCAACAAGUCAGAGACCAUGUCGUUUGUAUUGAAGAUUCGUUUGUAAACAGCCAAGAAUGGACUUUGUCUCGGGCUGUACCGGACCUACGUCUAGGCAUCGUCGGUUCGUUAUCAUCCGGCAAAUCGGCGCUGGUGCACCGGUACCUGACUGGCUCGUACAUGCAGGAAGAAAGUCCGGAAGGUGGUCGGUUCAAGAAAGAGAUAUCAUUGGAUGGCCACAGCCACCUUUUGUUGAUCAGAGACGAGGGUGGUUCGCCAGAACUACAGUUUACUGCUUGGGUGGACGCAGUCAUAUUCGUGUUCAGCCUGGAAAACGAGGCGAGUUUCAACGCCGUAUACGGGUACUACACAAAAAUGGCACACUACCGCAACUCCGCCGAGGUACCGUUGAUCUUGGUUGGCACACAGGAUGCGAUAAGUGAAACGAAUCCUCGGGUAAUCGACGAUACAAGGGCCAGGAAAUUGGCGGCAGACCUUAAACGAUGUUCGUAUUACGAGACGUGCGCUACGUAUGGUUUGAACGUGGACCGGGUGUUCCAAGAUGCUUGUCAGAAAAUCAUUCAGCAGAGGCUUUCCACGUCCACCAACUGCCUGUCAGACUCCCGUUGCUCGACUCCCGCGUCCUCGUCAACCACCACUCCGGUCGGAUUAUCGUCCUCGUCAUACAACCACCACCAUCUGUCGUCGCCGGCAACUGCCGCGGCUGGCUCGCGGACCUUCUCGCAGGCCUCGUCGCCGUCUCCGACCGUGCACGGCGGCGGCGGAGCUUCGUCGCCAGCACAUCACGGCGGAGCGUUCAAGGAAUCUGUGCUCCGGUCCAACCUAUCGUCGACGCUAAACCGACAACCGCUGGAGCUCUCCAUAGCGCUGGACAACAACAACGUGUCGACGAAAAACACGGUGUUCGAUGGGCUCUCGGUACCCAAAGACUUACCCACGCCCAGUUCCACGCCCACGACCACCAGAAAGACGAGGAGACGGUCGAAUUUGUUCAACCCGUCCAAGAAAGAUGACAAGAAUCGGUGCCUAACCACCGGUGAGCUGGGCAGUGGCCGAGCGAUACCUCUGAAGCAAGGUUACUUGUACAAGCGCAGCAGCAAAGGCCUGAACAAGGAAUGGAAAAAGAAAUACGUUACGCUGUGCGACGACGGACGUCUGACGUACCAUCCGAGCCUGCACGACUACAUGGAAGACGUGCAUGGCAAAGAGAUAUCGCUACAGUACGUCACGGUUAAGGUGCCCGGUCAAAAACCCAGAGGUUCGAAGACGAUCAUGUCGUUGUCGUCGACCAAUCACCACCACGGCAGCAGCAACGGCAUAUCCGAACACAUGUCUAACAUAUCGAUAUCGAAUUUCCAAAUGAAAGACAAGCGGACGGCCGACAAAGUGAUGCUCACUGCUUUCGAACUGCUCAAAGAACCCAGCUAUAAGAACGGCGGUUCAGCUAAUUGUGACGAAUCUACUGUGGGAAUGUCGAACAUUUCAUUGUCGGUAAACAACGGUGAACUCAAAGCCGAAACGCCUAACGUGAAGAAGAGACACAGGCGUAUGAAAAGCAGCAACAUUAAGAAUCAGGAAUGCGAAGACACCGAUGGAUACGAAUUUUUAAUCGUUUCGUUGGACAAUAAACAGUGGCAGUUUGAAGCUAACAGUUCAGAAGACCGGGACGAAUGGGUCGCCGCUAUCGAACAACAAAUUCUCAACUCCUUACAAAGCAAUGAAAUUAUUAAAGUGAACGUCGGUGGUAAAUUCGGUUCGUCAUGCAAUCGCUCGGAAGACGUGCAGAGCAUCCGGACGCGGGUGCCCGGCAAUGGCCAGUGCGCCGACUGCAAUUCACCGAAUCCAGAUUGGGCCAGUUUGAAUCUCGGUAUACUCAUGUGCAUCGAAUGUUCGGGUGUGCACCGUAACUUAGGUUCGCAUAUAUCCAAAGUCCGGUCGUUAGAUUUAGAUGGUUGGCCACCGUCUCACCUCAAGGUAAUGAUGGCAAUGGGCAACGAUCUGGCGAAUUCAGUCUGGGAGUCGAACGUCCGACCCAAUCGAACCAAACCGAACCCGGGUUCGAGCCGAGAAGAGAAAGAACUGUGGAUACGCAGCAAGUAUGAAACAAAAGAGUUCCUACCGGCAAUAGCGCACACGGCCAACCUGUCGCAACAGCUUAUCGACGCCGUGUACAGAUGUGACAUGAAAGCACUCACGCUGGUGUUGGCCCACGCCACUGCUGACCAGGUCAAUUGCGUCGUCGGCCACCGAGACUUGCGCACGCCCUUGCACCUGGCCUGCUCCAUGAUCAACCUUCCUAUAGCUCAGCUUCUCCUAUGGUACAAAGCCAACGCCAAAGCGGUGGACCACGAGGGUCGGACGUGUCUGCAACAUGUACGGGCUGCUUGCCGCAACGGUUCAGCAAACGUCCAAGACGCUGGCCCAUUGACGGAACUUCUCGUGCAAAACGGUUGUCCCGAAAACGGCACCAGCACAUUAACGAGACCCUUGGACAUACUUCCGUCCAGCGUUAUCUGAUUCCUCGACGUACUGUUUAACGCUCACGCGCGCGCACACCAAUUCGUGUACUCUAGUAUUUAGCGUCUCCGUUAGAAUGUUUUGUGCGCGUGCGACGAUGCUUGAACUGUAAACACGUCCAUGUGUCUAGUCGUUUGUUCAAUUCGUUUGUACCAGGGUAACGACACAAAUCAGAUGGACAACCCACAUCGCGUCCGUGACCUGUAUUAUUAUUAUUGUUUACUAUUUUAUAACAAUUGUGUUAAUUGCUUAUUAUUUUAGAUUAGUAUUAUAUUAU